rnacentral:rRNA from 1 species
UACGGAGGGUGCAAGCGUUGUCCGGAAUCACUGGGCGUAAAGGGCGCGUAGGCGGCCCGAUAAGUCCGCUGUGAAAGUCAACGGCUCAACUGUUGGAUGCCGGUGGAUACUGUCGGGCUAGAGUACGGAAGAGGCAAGUGGAAUUCCUGGUGUAGCGGUGGAAUGCGCAGAUAUCAGGAGGAACACCUAUAGCGAAGGCAGCUUGCUGGGACGUUACUGACGCUAAGGCGCGAAAGCGUGGGGAGCGAACAGG